rnacentral:rRNA from 1 species
NNNNAAUNACGAAGAGUUUGAUCCUGGCUCAGAACUNACGCUGGCNGUGCGUCUUAAGCAUGCAAGUCAGACGGAAUGUAGCAAUACAUUGGGGGAUAACUAUUAGAAAUAGUAGCUAAUACCGAAUNAGGUCAAUUGAGAUGUUAAUUGAUGAAAGGAAGCCUUUAAACUUCGCUUGUAGAUGAGUCUGCGUCUUAUUAGCUAGUUGGUAGGGUAAAAGCCUACCAAGGCUGUGAUAAGUAACCGGCCUGAGAGGGUGAACGGUCACACUGGAACUGAGAUACGGUCCNGNCUCCUACGGGAGGCAGCAGCUAAGAAUCUUCCGCNAUGGGCGAAAGCCUGACGGAGCGACNCUGCGUGAACGAAGAAGGUCGAAAGAUUGUNAAGUUCUUUUAUAAAUGAGGAAUAAGCUUUGUAGGAAAUGACAAAGUGAUGACGUUNAUUUAUGAAUNAGCCCCGGCUNAUUNCGCGGAUAUGCAAGUCUAUGCGUAAAAUACCACAGCUCNACUGUGGNAAUAUGCUGGAAACUGCAUGACUNGAGUCUGAUNNNGGAAGUUNGAAUUCCUGGUGUNAGGGUGGAAUCUGUUGAUAUCAGNAAGAAUACCAGAGGCGAAGGCGAACUUCUAGGUCAAGACUGACGCUGAGUCCCGAAAGCGUAGGGAGCAAACAGGAUUAGAUACCCUGGUAGUCUACGCUGUAAACGAUGCACNCUUGGUGUUAAUCGAAAGGGUUAGUACCGAAGCUAACGUGUUNAGUGUGCNGCCUGGGGAGUAUGCUCGCNAGAGUGAAACUCNAAGGAAUACGCGAGGGAACCUUACCAGGGCUUGACAUAUACAGGAUGUAGUUAGAGAUAACUAUUCCCCGUUUGGGGNCUGUAUACAGGUGCUGCAUGGUUGUCGUCAGCUCGUGCUGUGAGGUGUUGGGUUAAGUCCCGCAACGAGCGCAACCCUUAUUGUCUGUUACCAGCAUGUANNNUGGGGACUCAGACGAGACUGCCGGUGAUAAGCCGGAGGAAGGUGAGGAUGACGUCAAAUCAUCAUGGCCCUUAUGUCCUGGGCUACACACGUGCUACAAUGGCCUGUACAAAGCGAUGCGAAACAGUGAUGUGAAGCAAAACGCAUAAAGCAGGUCUCAGUCCAGAUUGAAGUCUGAAACUCGACUUCAUGAAGUUGGAAUCGCUAGUAAUCGUAUAUCAGAAUGAUACGGUGAAUACGUUCUCGGGCNUUGUACACACCNNCCGUCNNACCACCCGAGUUGAGGAUACCCGAAGCUAUUAUUCUAACCCGCAAGGGAGGAAGGUAUCUAAGGUAUGUUUAGUNANNGGGG